AAUUAAGAAACAAUAAAUUGUUUUCAAUUUCGACUUGAAAUUUAGGAUUUUAUCCCUUAAUUG
rnacentral:tRNA from 1 species